rnacentral:rRNA from 1 species
CAGUAGUCAUAUGCUUGUCUCAAAGAKUAAGCCAUGCAUGUCUAAGUAUAAGCAAUCUAUACCGUGAAACUGCGAAUGGCUCAUUAAAUCAGUUAUCGUUUAUUUGAUAGUACCUUACUACUUGGAUAACCGUGGUAAUUCUAGAGCUAAUACAUGCUAAAAACCUCAACUUCGGAAGGGGUGUAUUUAUUAGAUAAAAAACCAAUGCCCUUCGGGGCUCCUUGGUGAUUCAUAAUAACUUAACGAAUCGCAUGGCCUUGUGCCGGCGAUGGUUCAUUCAAAUUUCUGCCCUAUCAACUUUCGAUGGUAUGGUCUUGGCUUACCAUGGUUUCAACGGGUAACGGGGAAUUAGGGUUCUAUUCCGGAGAGGGAGCCUGAGAAACGGCUACCACAUCCAAGGAAGGCAGCAGGCGCGCAAAUUACCCAAUCCCGACACGGGGAGGUAGUGACAAUAAAUACUGAUACAGGGCUCUUUUGGGUCUUGUAAUUGGAAUGAGUACAAUUUAAAUCCCUUAACGAGGAACAAUUG